CUAGCAGUUCCGACACUCCCAGGGCAAGACCCCUCCCUCCUCCACAGGUGUCCCCAAAGUCUGGGCUCCCCUUCCCAUCCUUGGCCAAGGUUCACUUGUGAGCCCCAAAACCAGGCCCAUGUGGGAGCUGGAUCUCCCAAAGUAGGGUUUGCUCCCCAGACAGCACUGCACAUCUCCUCAGGCUGCUUCUGAGUCUUUCUGUUAAAUCAGAUACCUACUUGAUUUUUAUAAAUGUUUUUUGUCACCCUUUUUAGUACAAGUAAUAGGAAGCAUCAUUUUUGCUUUGUUUUUGUGUAUCAGGGUCUUUACACUGAGCUACAUCCCCAGAGGCAUUUUUUUUUUUUCCAGUACUGGGGACUGAACUCAGGACCUUGCAUUUGCGCUCAGUCUCCAGAACCACUGAGCUAAAUCCCCAGCCCCACCAGAGGCUUUUUUUUUUUUUGUACAGGGGAUCAAACUCAGGACCUUGGGCUUGCAGGGCAGGCAUGGUGCCUCUGAGUUAAAUCCCCCAGCCCCUUUAUUUUUUAUUUUGAGACAAGCUCUUGCUAAAUCACUAAAUUGCCCACAGGCUAGGCUCAAAGUUGUAAUCCUCCUGCCUCAGCCCCACAGAGUGCUGAGAUUACAAGCAUGCACCACCAGGCCUUGCUAGGAAGCAGUUUUCUUGUUGUUGUGUCUGUGCUGAUGAUGGUGACUUAACCCCCUCUGUACUGGGACUUGAACUCAGGACCUCACACAUACUCAGCACAUGCUCUACCACUGAGAUACUCAUCCACCUCCAGCCCAUGGUGGUGAUUGUUUUGUUUGUUUUUUAAAACAGGGUCUCAUUAUGUAGUUCAGGCUGGCCUUGAACUCAAGAACUCAUGGCAAUCCUCCUGAGUGCUAGGAUUAUAGAUGUGCACCACCACACCCAGCCAGAGAGCCUUUUUGAAGGAACAACUGACAAGACAAAAUGACUAAGUAGACAAGACCCAAGGAUGACCUAGAGUUCCACAUUUUUAAGAAACUUUACAUCUCUACUCUGAAACUUCAUGCAUGGAUGAAUGUACAAAUAAUAGAGAAAUAAGGACAACAGGAAAUGGAAAGAUGG
rnacentral:lncRNA from 1 species